CAGUAUUUAGUUUAAAUAAAAUAUAAUAUUUGGGGUAUUAAGAUUUUAUAUACUGA
rnacentral:tRNA from 2 species